GACUUCUCUUGAAACACGGACCAAGGAGUCUAACAUGUGCGCGAGCCGCGGGGCAGUACGAAACCCGUAAGGCGAAAUGAAGGUGAACGCCGGCGCGGUCCGGCGGAGGUUGGAUCCCGUCCCGUCGGGGCGGGCGCACUACCGGCCGAUCUUCUCCGCCCUGUCGGCGAGGUCGAGCGAGAGCGUGCAAGUCGGGACCCGAAAGAUGGUGAACUAUGCCUGAGGAGGUUGAAGCCAGAGGAAACUCUGGUGGAGGACCGUAGCGAUUCUGACGUGCAAAUCGAUCGUCAAAUUUGGGUAUAGGGGCGAAAGACUAAUCGAACCGUCUAGUAGCUGGUUCCCUUCGAAGUUUCCCUCAGGAUAGCUGGCGCUCUGUCGCAGUUUUAUCUGGUAAAGCGAAUGAUUAGAGGUCUUGGGGGCGAAACGCCCUCAACCUAUUCUCAAACUUUAAAUUGGUAAGAAGCCCGACUCGCUCGUUUGGAGCCGGGCAUGGAAUGCGAGUGCCAAGUGGGCCACUCUUGGUAAGCAGGACUGGCGAUGCGGGAUGAACCGAACGCCGGGUUAAGGCGCCCGACGCGACGCUCAUCAGAGCCCACAAAAGGUGUUGGUUGAUAUAGACAGCAGGACGGUGGCCAUGGAAGUCGGAAACCGCUAAGGAGUGUGUAACAACUCACCUGCCGAAUCAUUCAGCCCUGAAAAUGGAUGGCGCUGGAGCGA
rnacentral:ncRNA from 1 species